rnacentral:lncRNA from 10 species
GCAAAGGGGUUCUGCUCAGUUUCAGACUUGGACAUGGUCUCUCAAACAGAUUAUCAAUUUCCUAUUAGAGUAGGAGUGUUUUAGGAAAAGGAAACAUUUCAAGUAGCUCAUUGGUCAUAGCUGGAGGAAAGGUGUGGUGGAGUGGGACAGGAAACCAGACCCACAGGAAACACAACUUGCCUUCAAGCUCAUCUCUGGUCCCACCUUAAUCUCUCCUUCUAAGGACCUCUCACAGGAAAUGCUCGAUCUCUUUUAACCUGACUCUAGCUGCUUAUUUGCACAGCAUCAUGGAAACCUGUUAGAAACAGUUCUAAGUUGCAAUACAUUAAAUAAAAAGUACAAUGUCUUUUGACCAAGAAGUAGAUGUAUUUUUCACUGCUGUGACUUUGUUGCAUUUCUAAGCAUAAAGCCCACUUUAGCAGGUUGAAUUGUGUUUCUUUAUCUUAAUGUUUCUUAUCCCUCCCAUCAGUGUGGAUAUUAUCUAAGAGCAAAGAAGAACUUCAUAAAAUUCUAUUAUAAUGUUCCUGCUGAAUUAUUUUGUUAAAUUAAACAUCAUAUGCUGCCAGAAAUCUAACUAUAAAUUCAGAGCUUUGCAUAUUACAUAUUUACACUCUUACCUACUGUUCUCAAGUAUACAUCAGUGAUGAUUUUAAUUAGACUAGCUUUUUCUAAACACACUCAUUACACACUUGAGUUGCUUCAAUACUAUUCAAUGUCCAACUUUUAUUCUCACUUGUCACUUUUUAAUCUGAUUUCAUGAUGAAAGACCAGUUCUGGCAAACUCUCCUUUAAAUUAAAAGCGAAUGCAUUAUGAUUUCAUUUAUAUGAAGUUUAAAGCAAAACAAAUCUAAUUGUAUCAGAAUAGUGCCUACCCUAAGGGUUGAGGGUUGAUCAGAAAGAGAUAUGAGGAAGUUAUCUGGGAAGUUAUCUGGGAAGAGAGAAUUGUUUUAUAUCAUAAUAAAGAUGUGGCUUACUCUGGUGUACUCAUUUGUCAAAAUUGUAAAGCUAAUAUGUAGGCAUUUCAAGGUAUGUUAUAUAUGUAGUGAUAGAUAUAGGUAUAUAGUGAUAAAUGAGAGAUACAGGUGAAAAAAGAAUGACAAAAAUAAUGAUAGCCAUUGCAGUUGUAUAAUGUAGGACAUGAGGAUUCUUUAUACUGUUUUGUUUACUUUGUACAUAUUUGAAAUUUUCAUAAUAAACAG